GUGGCUUUUACGUGAUUUUAAAGAUUCAAUGCUUUGAAUUAUAUACGUGUGAAGCGUAACUUGUGUAUAAGCCUAUAUUGAAUUUAGUUCCCCUCGCUAUCCUGUUCGUCAACUAUGAUGAUGUUUCCUAGGACGUCGGGGUACAAUAUUC